AGAAUUCAGAUCAUUCCUUUUCCUUAUAUAUUUCAUACUAUGGCACAUUUAUACAUCUUUCCCGUGGACUGUAGACUCUAACAACCUGUGAUAUUAAUUUGAAGUUCAGACUUUGGCAUCUUAUUCCUUUUCCCUUAUUGAGUGCAAACUCUGGAAAUCUGUUUCUUGCCCUUAUAUUUAGUUUAGACCAUGGCACAUCUUUAUG
rnacentral:lncRNA from 1 species